GCCCUCCUUCGCUUUGCAAAAAGCCACAGAGUUGGGUCGAUCACGGAGACCUGGGGCUGCUCCUUCUCACAGGAACCUUGGAUUCCCUCAUGGACCAGCCAGGAGCUCCGUGCUGCAACGCUGCCAGGCUGCUGAGAUGAAAAUGGGCUUCCCUGCAUGGCUUCUCACCCAUGGAUGGAAAUGAUUUGGGGUCUGCCUUCAUGCCAGUUAACACUUCUUGACGCUCUGUCCGUGCAAGACUGACAAUAAAUAACCCUCUCGAGCGCUGUGGAGAGAUGGAAACUGCAGCUGAGGAAUGAUUUUGGGGAGAGGAAGACAGAAAAGCACAAGCAAACUGUUAUGGAGGUGCAAAUACUCUUCUAAAGGAUUCGGCAAAUGCACCAGUUUAGUGCCCCCACAGGGAACAUCUUUGCUGAUCUG
rnacentral:lncRNA from 1 species